GCCGAUUUCUCUCAUCCCCCUCCGUGUGGAGCGCAAAGAAGUCGAAAAAGGUUGCGGAAUUUCUUUUGCAAGACGCGCUAUUAUUGCAAACUCAAAAUUUCCAAAGAUAAAUCUACUUACCGAUAAUCAUCAGAGUCGGGUAAUUGUCGCACAGUUAUUUUGUAACCGGAGUUUAUAGAUAAUUGCAAAAGAUCCUGGAGUCGAAUCAAUCCAUCUUCUUCUUCAUAGAGAACGGUAAAAGUCUUCCAUUUCCAACCCUUAAUUACAUCUGCAUAGGCCUGUCAUUUAUUCAUAACACAAGAGCCGUUAAACUGUUGGUUUUCUAGUUUGGAUUUUUGUUUUAAUAAGGAUACGAACCCGACUGACAGCCGCUGGAUGAGGAUAGAGAUUCACAGACAUUGGACUAUUGUUUUUCCUCCCAUUGUAACCUUGAUCUUCAUUUUUAAGAAGGUCCAUGGCAGUGGUACGUUUAGGAUCCCAGUGUGUCUGAAUGUGCGGGAUUUUCAUCGUUUGACACAUGGACUGAACGUGAUCAGCUGACACUUCCGACUGGGGACCAAUAAUUGCAGCCACUCCAAAGCGAAUCAUUUGGCAAACUGCCAAAUUUUAUUGUGAGUUAUGACUGUUAUCAUAAUUUCAAUGUCUGUUAUUGGUAGCAUCGGUUUUACCUUUCUUCGAGACAAGGAACGAAUCGUUCGGAGGUAAAAAUUCGACAUUGCCAGUGCCGGGUGGAACGCGGGAUAACCGCGAACGAGUCAAAAUCUGUCGGUUAGCUUUAACCAUUUGCAUCGAGUAGCGGAAAGUCAUUUCCAGAGCUGAAUCAGAAGUCGUGUCAAAUAAUCCACCUUGAAAAAGUUAAGGUUAAAUAACGAAUUGCAAAAUGUAAUAAAUCUCCAAUACGAACUCACCCACGUAAAUGACGUCUGGAAGAGCAUCGACUCGUACCACUAAAAUCCAUGUUGUGACUAACACGAUUGAAAUGAAAUGUUUAAACAUUUUGGCUCAUCAGAAGCCGUUUAUUGUCUGAUUGAGGAAUCCUAGAUGUGGGGAAACAGUCUUUGUGAAUGAGUGCACUGGUUUUGGAGGAAUAAAACAGACGAACGUCUAAA